rnacentral:lncRNA from 1 species
CUGGUAUUUAUCACAUCGGGGCAGGUUUUCACUGCUGGUAAGUAUCAGCUGUCUAGAGAGCAGGCGUGGGGAAGUCACUGAGCAGUUUCUAUGAAGAGAAGAAAAUGUGAAGCUUGGGAACUGCUAACAGGAGGAAUCAGCAUGCCCUCCCAACCAGCAGAAGAGACGGGGUAACUCUGUGAAAGAAGAGGAUGCUUCAGGAAGGAAGACGGAGAAAAGGAGGCAGAGUCAGCAGAAAGGAAAUGCUUUAGAUCUCAGAACGUGGCACGGUGAUUUUAUUUGAAGAUGGGGCAAGGCCAUCAGCUACUAGGAGGUUUCUCGAGGCAACACACAGUACGAAGUUGCUCAGCCCAAGUACCCUCAUCUGGGCAACUGAGAGACAAACUGUGGUGCGGUACCAGGGAGUACUACUCAGAAACAAAAGGGAAUGAGCUACUAAUGUACUCACCAACGUGGCGGAAUCGCAAAUGCCCAACGAUAGUUGAAGAGAACCAAACUUAAAGGCUUCAUGGUAUGUGAUUCCAUUUAUAUGAUCCUCCAGAAGAGGCAAAAUGAUAGGGACUGUUUCAUAUUUUGAUUGAGGUGGUAGUUACAUGACUGUAGAUGUCGAGAUUGCAGAACUGUCCGUAAAUGGAUGAAUAGUAUGUAAAUUAUACCUUAAUUUUUUAAAUGGGAGAAAAAACACGAAGUUGUUUUGGAUUGGGUGCUUUAGUAACCUCAUUAUCUAUCUUAGGAUUUUUAGGUAAAACUUGGAAAACAGAAUGGAUUCAGUCCUUUAAUAAGCAACUUCCUCUUAAUAUUAUACAUAACCCACAGAAGCCCUAGGAGCCCCCAAAUAUCAUUAUUUCCUCAACUACAUAGCCACAGUGAAAUUAAAAUGCUUCUUACAAUCAAUGAAUGAUAAGUGACAAUAGCCAGAUGCAUGCAGAUCAGUAAGUUUCGAUGAAGUUGUUAUUUUCCGCAAAUGUUUAAAAUGUACAAAAUUAGCCAUUGGGUAAUUAAUAUUGACCUUCAAUUAAACUUAAAUUUAUUUAUUGUUCCUUCAAAUGAUCUCAAAAUUACUACACUUGGCUGCAUAUUAUUGUACACAGACGAUUGAUUGAUACCUGCCAGGCUAUUUAAUUUAAGGCAAAAGAAAUUGCC